UACAGAGGGGGCAAGCGUUGUUCGGAAUUACUGGGCGUAAAGGGCGCGUAGGCGGCCCGCUAAGUCGAACGUGAAAUCCCCAGGCUUAACCUGGGAACUGCGUCCGAUACUGGUGGGCUUGAAUCCGGGAGAGGGAUGUGGAAUUCCAGGUGUAGCGGUGAAAUGCGUAGAUAUCUGGAGGAACACCGGUGGCGAAGGCGGCAUCCUGGACCGGUAUUGACGCUGAGGCGCGAAAGCUAGGGGAGCAAACGGG
rnacentral:rRNA from 1 species